rnacentral:rRNA from 1 species
UACGAAGGGUGCAAGCGUUACUCGGAAUUACUGGGCGUAAAGCGUGCGUAGGUGGUUUGUUAAGUCCGUUGUGAAAGCCCCGGGCUCAACCUGGGAAUGCCAUUCGAGACUGCAUAGCUAGGGUGCGGAAGAGGGAAGCGGAAUUUCCGGUGUAGCGGUGAAAUGCGUAGAUAUCGGAAGGAACACCAGUGGCGAAAGCGGCUUCCUGGUCCAGCACCGACGUUCAGGCACGAAAGCGUGGGGAGCAAACAGG